rnacentral:rRNA from 1 species
AGUGAACGCUGGCGGUAGGCCUAACACAUGCAAGUCGAACGGCAGCACAGAGGAGCUUGCUCCUUGGGUGGCGAGUGGCGGUCGGGUGAGGAAUACAUCGGAAUCUACUCUGUCGUGGGGGAUAACGUAGGGAAACUUACGCUAAUACCGCAUACGACCUACGGGUGAAAGCAGGGGACCUUCGGGCCUUGCGCGAUUGAAUGAGCCGAUGUCGGAUUAGCUAGUUGGCGGGGUAAAGGCCCACCAAGGCGGCAAUCCGUAGCUGGUCUGAGAGGAUGAUCAGCCACACUGGAACUGGGACACGGUCCAGACUCCUAAGGGAGGCAGCAGUGGGGAAUAUUGGACAAUGGGCGCAAGCCUGAUCCAGCCAUACCGCGUGGGUGAAGAAGGCCUUCGGGUUGUAAAGCCCUUUUGUUGGGAAAGAAAUCCAGCUGGCUAAUACCCGGUUGGGAUGACGGUACCCAAAGAAUAAGCACCGGCUAACUUCGUGCCAGCAGCCGCCGUAA